CGGCACCCGCUGUAUAUAAGCGAGGGGGGUGCUGACCAGGUGGCUCGAGCCAACAAUAAAGAGUUGAGCAGUUUUCGACAUGUCCUCAUCUAAAGAGCAUCUGGCGGUACCUUCUCCCGGUCCGCCGCGGGUGCCCAAAUGUACCCGGUGCCGCCACCACGGGACCGUCGUGCCGCUCAAGGGCCACAGUGGGUCGUGUCCCUUCCGCGCGUGCGGAUGCUGGAAGUGCGGCCUCGUCACGCAGCGGACUCGCAUCACGGCGGUACAGCGGCGGAUGAAGAUCGCCCCCGAUGACCCCCGGGACAGAGAGAGGCGGCCCGACGCGCGCGCCGCGGCGACGCGUGCCACUCCGGCCCCGCGGGAGGACGCGCCUCUGUCGGCCACAUUUAGAAUGCAGUGUCCCGCCGCCCCGGGUGGAUGUCCCCCGGGGGCAGAGAGGUCCUCGCACAGCGGGCAGGUGGUGCCCUUCGCUUCCAGGGAGUUUGCGCCGCGAAUCAGUGCCCCUUUCCUUGGUGAAUUUGGUCCGGCCGCCCCUCUGCCUGUCCUCCACGUCCCCUGGAUGUCCGGUUACCCCGGCGACUACGUGCCGCGUCCAAACAUCCUGCUCAACGUGCCGGGGUUUCACCCCGUGCCCGCUGGGCUUUACAGCUACGGCCCCCGCGGGCCCCCGGCGUUCCUCCACUACCCGCCUCCACCGCGGCCUGGGGCCGCUGCUGUGAUCCUCUGUGCACGCCGUAGGCCACCUCUAUUUAGCGUGAUUAAAAAAUAAUAUGCAUCCAUUUGUUGAAUACAUCAGGAUUGCAGACUGAUCUUCUUCGUCCUUCUGCCACGCCCAGAGCCGCCCCGGGAGCCGCCGCCGCCGCCGCCUCCCUCCGAACACACUGAGCCAGACGUGGAAGUGGAUUAAAGCAGCCAGCUGGUUCACAGUUUGUUAUCGAAUCUGUUCGUUUUCCCCUUCUGUUUUGUACCGAUGACAGUUCUGUUCACACUGAUGGCAUAAAUGUUUCUGCACAGUUUGUUUGUGCAAUAUAUCGAUAUUAAAUAAGGCUUUGACAUUAAAAAAAUAAGUCCGUUAUGGUUCUUAUUUUGUAUGUGUUAUUUUACUCCACAAAGAAAAAUAAAAUAUCUUUUCAUAAA
ensembl:lncRNA